GACGAACGCUGGCGGCGUGCUUAACACAUGCAAGUCGAACGGAAAGGCCCUGCUUUUGUGGGGUGCUCGAGUGGCGAACGGGUGAGUAACACGUGAGUAACCUGCCCUUGACUUUGGGAUAACUUCAGGAAACUGGGGCUAAUACCGGAUAGGAGCUCCUGCUGCAUGGUGUGGGUUGGAAAGUUUCGGCGUUUGGGGAUGGACUCGCGGCUUAUCAGCUUGUUUGUGGGGUAGUGGCUUGCCAAGGCUUUGACGGGUAGCCGGCCUGAGAGGGUGACAGGCCACAAUGGCACUGAGAUACGGCCGAGACUGCUACGGGACGCAGCAGGGGGGAAUAUUGAAGGAGGGGCGGAAGCUUGAUGAAGAAACGCCGCGUGCGGGAUGACGGCGUUCGGGUUGUAAACCGCUUUCGCUCAUGACGAAGCUUUGUGUGACGGUAGUGGGUAAAGAAGCACCGGCUAACUACGUG
rnacentral:rRNA from 1 species